rnacentral:rRNA from 1 species
GAUGAACGCUGGCGGCGUGCCUAAUACAUGCAAGUCGAGCGAACGGACGAGAAGCUUGCUUCUCUGAUGUUAGCGGCGGACGGGUGAGUAACACGUGGAUAACCUACCUAUAAGACUGGGAUAACUUCGGGAAACCGGAGCUAAUACCGGAUAAUAUUUUGAACCGCAUGGUUCAAAAGUAAAAGACGGUCUUGCUGUCACUUAUAGAUGGAUCCGCGCUGCAUUAGCUAGUUGGUAAGGUAACGGCUUACCAAUGCAACGAUGCAUAGCCGACCCGAGAGGGUGAUCGGCCACACUGGAACUGAGACACGGUCCAGACUCCUACGGGAGGCAGCAGUAGGGAAUCUUCCGCAAUGGGCGAAAGCCUGACGGAGCAACGCCGCGUGAGUGAUGAAGGUCUUCGGAUCGUAAAACUCUGUUAUUAGGGAAGAACAUAUGUGUAAGUAACUGUGCACAUCUUGACGGUACCUAAUCAGAAAGCCACGGCUAACUACGUG